UGAACGGAUGUCUCGAGCUUCAGGGAAGCUGGAUCUGGAGGAAUUAAUGAAGGAGGUUCAAGUGGCUAGAAGGAUCAAAAUGUUGCAUCAGCCAAGCAAGGUUAUGGACAUGGAACAUGAACUACGUGCCCUGAGGAUUCAACUUGAAGAGAAGUCCAAACGUUCUCUCCUACUUCAGAAAGAGUUGGCAAGGAGCAAGAGAGCUGAUCAGAACAUAUCCCG
rnacentral:misc_RNA from 1 species